GUUUCCGCAGUGUAGUGGUUAUCACGUUCGCCUCACACGCGAUAGGUCCCCAGUUCGAAACUGGGCGGAAACA
rnacentral:tRNA from 1 species